rnacentral:lncRNA from 1 species
CAAAUAUUGGUACAAAAUAUGUAAUAAAUACUUUUUCUCCAUGCAUGUAAGUAUAUAUAGAAGACAACCAACUUUAGCAGAUUAUGAAGACCAGAGAAUAACUAAGCGAGGAUAUUCAAUUAACUAAAGAGAAGGAUAUGUUAAAACCUUCAUGAGAGAACGUGCAAAGACAUCGGAGACUUUAGUUGUAAUAACUAACAAAUGACUAGAUAAUGCCCAUCAAAUUGUAGCAAAUGAUAAUAACAGGUAAGGGAAGAAAGGAGAACCAAUUUUUGCUUAAUGUUUAGAGUAUCAAGAAACGAAUUUAUGACA